UACGGGGGGGGCAAGAGUUGUUCGGAAUUACUGGGCGUAAAGGGCUCGUAGGCGGCCAACUAAGUCGGACGUGAAAUCCCCAGGCUCAACCUGGGAACUGCGUCCGAUACUGGAUGGCUUGAAUCCGGGAGAGGGAUGCAGAAUUCCAGGUGUAGCGGUGAAAUGCGUAGAUAUCAGGAGGAACACCGGUGGCGAAGGCGGGUCUCUGGGCAGUAACUGACGCUGAGGAGCGAAAGCGUGGGUAGCGAACAGG
rnacentral:rRNA from 1 species